rnacentral:lncRNA from 1 species
AAAUGUGGAGGAGGGGGUGGGUAUAUAUAUGCUUUCCACCUCCUCAAUGGAUGGUCAUGAUCUAUUUAAUCCUACGGUGGAGAUUCGUCUUCUAGAAUACUCCACACUUUUCUUACAAAAUAUCUAGAUAUUUUUAUCACCUACACUAAUCUAGAAAUAUCUCUUAUAAAUAUCUCCUAACUUCUAUAAUAUUCUACACUAUUCAAUAAUUUUCCAAAAGUUACACUU